GGAAAUAGUAAACAAAGAUGGGGCAUAGAAGCAGAACCGAGUCGUAUGUGUGGAGGGACAGUAACUGUGUGUGUAUAUGGAACAAAACAGAGGACGAGGAUAAAAUCAAAGUUUACCAAUGCUGCUGAAGAUCAUCUCAACACAGACUCACAACAUCAUCUCCUUCUGCCUUUCCUCUUUCUCUCGCUCCGCUGUUUGUGUGUGGGACAGUAUGAGAGAUUCCUCUUCUGCUCCCCUGCUCCAUUUGGCUGGCACAUAUGUCUCAAAUCCCUAAUCAGAGCCUUUAAACAUUUGAUCAUAAAUUCAGUCCUCUCCAGAUUGUUCUGUUAGGUUUGUCUUUAGCAUCACUCAGUCUCAUCAAAAAAAAAAAAAAAACAAUUGUACUUUUCUUUGUGUUUCACUUGAUUUCUCCAGUCACUAAUUUUAAAUGUCCCGGGCCGUCUCCUCCAGACCAAAUACUUAGUCUUGGUAUCCCUGCCUGCUCUCUUUCUCCAUCACUCACCAAACCCAGAUGCAAGACCCAAUCCCCUCUCGCUUGCACAUUCUCCCUCAUUCCAGUGUUAAAGCCUGCUUCAGAGUCCACCUCUUUUACCAUAAUAAUUUUCAAUAUACAAUAUUUAAAAAAUGAAAUGUAGAUGUUAUUUUUUAAGCCAUUUUCUGAAAUGAAUGUGAAACCUUCCUGUAUUUAAAUUGGAAUAACACAACAGCAACCAUAGUUCAUAGUUGUAACAUCUACCUGUCAAAGUUUGAAUCCCUGACA
ensembl:lncRNA